rnacentral:tRNA from 1 species
GCCUUCGUGGUGUAAUAGUCGUACACUCGGCCCGCAUCCGAGACGUCCAAGGUUCGAGUCCCGGCGAGGGCA